AUGCCAUGGUGAGGGCAUUUCCUUAACAAUUCCUUAUACCUUUUUCAAGCAUCGGGAACUAUUUCAUCAUUCAGUUGUUUAAAAUGACAAUUUUCAUCCUUGAACUU